rnacentral:rRNA from 1 species
AUUGGACGCUGGCGGCAUGCUUUACACAUGCAAGUCGAACGGUAACAGGCCGCAAGGUGCUGACGAGUGGCGAACGGGUGAGUAAUGCAUCGGAACGUGCCCAGUCGUGGGGGAUAACGCAGCGAAAGCUGCGCUAAUACCGCAUACGAUCUAUGGAUGAAAGCGGGGGACCGAAAGGCCUCGCGCGAUCGGAGCGGCCGAUGUCAGAUUAGGUAGUUGGCGGGGUAAAGGCUCACCAAGCCAACGAUCUGUAGCUGGUGUGAGAGGACGACCGACCACACUGAGACUGAAGAACGGCCGAAACUCCUACGGGAGGCAGCAGAGGGGAAUUUUGGGCAAGGGGCGCAAGCCUGAUCCAGCAAUGCGGCGUGCAGGAAGAAGGCCUUCGGGUUGUAAACUGAUUUUGUACGGAACGAAACGGUCCGGGUUAAUACCCUGGGCUAAUGACGGUACCGUAAGAAUAAGCACCGGCUAACUACGUGCCAGCCGCCGCCGUAACAC